rnacentral:lncRNA from 10 species
UCCACCCUCUUGCGGGCGAGCGCUGGCUACCAUUGGACUGUCCGGCGCGAGGGGAAGGGUGAUCUAUAAAUAGGGAAUGGGUACACGUGACAGUUUGGCAGCUGCUCCUACCCCUCCACCCCGCCCAACCUUCAGCUUCUGAGGCUGCGCAGGGGGAGAAAAGGGUUAGGGGGUCGAGCCCUGACUUCGCCUCCUCUUCCAAGAAGCCUUCCCAGACACUCAGCUGUAAAACCAGACGGACGUCCUCCGAUGAAAUUGUUUCUACUUAGGGCCGGCUUCACCGGCUUGGAAUCCACUUAGAAGGGUCUUCGCGCUUGGUUGAAUGUUCUGCAAUUUCUGUCUUGAAAUUUUUAGUUUUUGAGCAAGGGGCCCCUUAUUUUCACUUUGCACUAGGCCAAAUAUGUAGCCGGUCUUGCUGCUAAGAGUCUAAGAUCGAUUGCAUUCCAAAUUCUGGAAUUAUAAGACCCUGGGUGGAAGAUUCUAUGCUUUGACCAGAAGAGAGUCUAAGCAGCUUUUGUCUCCCAGGUGCUAGGAGGAUGUGUGCUCAUCAUUCUUCCAUUCCAGGGGCCUUUGUUCUACGUUCUAAGGGGCUUUGUUCUCAGCCUUCUAUGAUGCUCUAUUCUCAACGUUCUCUGGUCCUAGGAGUCUGAGCCUGACAUUCGUUUCCAAGGCUUCCUGCUGUCUCUCCAGGCUCCGCAAGCAGGGCUGGGGCACCCUCAGGCGGCCAAUCUGUAUCACUACGCCGAGCCUGCCUCUACCAACUUCCAAGACCUAGCUCUAAUAUUCAUACUCAUCUCUCAGACAGACCUUGGCUCCCUAAAAGCCAAGGCCCAGAAGAUCAUACAAGAAAUUCCCUCUUUUAUGAUUCCCCGUGCACGAAGUGACCUUCUGGUGGUGAGAUGGAGAGAAAUUGAUAGUGGCGAUAGACAGCAAAGUCUCCAGGAGCCAGACUUCCUCGGGAAACUUGGGGCACGUGUGGAGUGUGAGUGAGUGAGCUGCUGGAAUGAACUGACCAGACAGGACAUCAUCUAUGUAUGGGAUUAGAAUGGAAUUACAGGAGAAAACCAAAUCCCUCAAAUUAGCAUUCAGGAUCGGAAAAAAAAUGUCAAGUCCAAUGUCCCUUUUCUUUACAGUAUAUACAAGUGUCUCUAUCAACAUUAGGUUUUGAGGUUGAGUGCAGUGGCCCACACCUGUAAUCCCAGCACUUUUGAGAGGUGGAGGAUCGUUCAACCCCAGGAGUUCAAGACCAGCCUCGGCAACAUAGUGAGACCCCAUCUCUAUAACAAAUAAAAAACAUGCCCGGG